CGCCAGACUCCUACGGGAGGCAGCAGUGGGGGAUAUUGCACAAUGGGGGAAACCCUGAUGCAGCGACGCCGCGUGAGCGAUGAAGUAUUUCGGUAUGUAAAGCUCUAUCAGCAGGGAAGAAAAUGACGGUACCUGACUAAGAAGCCCCGGCUAACUACGUGCCAGCAGCCGCGGUAAUACGUAGGGGGCAAGCGUUAUCCGGAUUUACUGGGUGUAAAGGGGGCGCAGACGGCAGCGCAAGCCAGGAGUGAAAGCCCGGGGCCCAACCCCGGGACUGCUCUUGGAACUGCGCGGCUGGAGUGCAGGAGGGGCAGGCGGAAUUCCUGGUGUAGCGGUGAAAUGCGUAGAUAUCAGGAGGAACACCGGUGGCGAAGGCGGCCUGCUGGACUGCGACUGACGUUGAGGCCCGAAAGCGUGGGGAGCAAACAGGAUUAGAUACCCCCGUAC
rnacentral:rRNA from 1 species